AAUGAACGCUGGCGGCAUGCCUAACACAUGCAAGUCGAACGAAGGCUUCGGCCUUAGUGGCGCACGGGUGCGUAACGCGUGGGAAUCUGCCCCUUGGUUCGGAAUAACAGUUAGAAAUGACUGCUAAUACCGGAUGAUGACGUAAGUCCAAAGAUUUAUCGCCGAGGGAUGAGCCCGCGUAGGAUUAGCUAGUUGGUGUGGUAAGAGCGCACCAAGGCGACGAUCCUUAGCUGGUCUGAGAGGAUGAUCAGCCACACUGGGACUGAGACACGGCCCAGACUCCUACGGGAGGCAGCAGUGGGGAAUAUUGGAAAAUGGGCGAAAGCCUGAUCCAGCAAUGCCGCGUGAGUGAUGAAGGCCUUAGGGUUGUAAAGCUCUUUUACCCGGGAUGAUAAUGACAGUACCGGGAGAAUAAGCUCCGGCUAACUCCGUG
rnacentral:rRNA from 1 species